AUGCUCUGCCUCCGAGCAGCAGCAGCUGUGCCUUGGGGGGGCAGCGGGCUCGUGAAGCACCCCAAAAAUUGGGGUUGGGACCACCAGGGAUGGGGGCACAACAGGGGGUGGAGGGAGAUGGAGCAGAGGACCACACGGAGCAUCCUCCUGGGAUGGGGGAAGCCCCUGUCCCUUUGCAAAGCUCUUCCUGCUCGGUGCUGGGAGCACUGGUGCUACUGGGGAAGGGUCCAAAAGGGGGGGGCUGCUCCCUUUGCCCUGUGCCCCCGUGGUGGCAGAGCAGAGGGGCUGCAAGCGAGGACCGGGGGGGACCCCGCUGCCCCUGGGGACACUCAGAGGGGCUUCAUGGAGACCCCUCGGGGGGACACAAAGCGCCCCCACCGCCACCGAGCAGCCCCACACGGCACCCUGGGGACCGCUGCUGGUGCGCCCCUCCAGUGUGUGCCCCCACCCCAAAAUCACCCCUCGGGGGUUCAGCAACUGGCAGAGCGAUGCUGGUGGAGGGGAUGCUGUCCGGGAUGUCCCCUGGGAAGGGGACAUUGGGGUGUGGGGUGCUCCCCCCCUCCCGGGGAUGCUCUGCCCGUCCCCUCCCCACUCACCUCCAGGGCUCCGCGCUCGGGGAAACUGAGGCACGGCGCGGGGCUGGGGCCGGGGGCGGGCAGGAAGGGGCUGCCCCGUUCCUUCCCCUCUCCUCCCGCUUCCCUGGCCUCUUCCUCCUCCUCCUCCUCCUCCUCCUCUUCCUCCCCCUCCCCACCGCGGGUCCGGGCUGCUGGAAGGCGGCGCUGGGAACAGCCCAGCCGAGGAGAGGAGGGGCAGGGCGGGCGCGGGGGCUGCCCGGCUUUGUGUUGCUGCCCGUUUUUGUUUUUUUUUUUUUUUACUAUUAUUUAUUUAUUUUUAACUGCAAGCGUGGGUUUUGAGUGCAGCUGCGGAGGCUGCAGCGCCGGAGCUCCUUCCUCCUUCUCCUCCUCUUCCUCCCUCCCCUCCCCAGCCUGGGGGUCCCAGCCCCGCGCAGGGAUGCGCAGCGCAACCCCUGCCGCGUUUUGGACUUCUGGGCUGAGAAAGCAGCCUUUUGGCAAAGCAAAACACAAGAUUGCACCGCUGAAACACACCGUUUCGCUUCCCAUCCCCUACUUCCCUCCUGCCCCCAGAAAUAGAGCCUGGGAACCAGGUCCUGCUCCGCGCAGGGGGGACGCGCUCAGCCCCGUCCCCAAACGAGCCCCCCGUGUCCCCGAGCGCUGCUGCCCUCGGGGAAACUUUGGGGACAAAUUUUCCACCUUGGACAAAGGACCCCAGGGGUGUGACCGUACCUUGGGGCAGAGGAUGGAACCGCUGGGUCACCGAAGGUUGCUCCUGGCCGGGUGUUUUGGGGGAUUUGUCCAGCGGUGGCCUCCUCGGGGUGCUGCUGGCCGCUUGCCCCAUACUGGGGCAAGCAGCUGGGCGAAGGGGCUCGCGGGGCGGUGA
rnacentral:lncRNA from 1 species